rnacentral:tRNA from 1 species
GCCGGAGUGGCGGAACUGGCAGACGCACGGGAUUCAAAAUCCCGCGAUGGCAACAUCGUGUGGGUUCGACUCCCACCUCCGGCA